rnacentral:rRNA from 1 species
GACGAACGCUGGCGGCGUGCUUAACACAUGCAAGUCGAACGGAAAGGCCCUGCUUUUGUGGGGUGCUCGAGUGGCGAACGGGUGAGUAACACGUGAGUAACCUACCCUUGACUUUGGGAUAACUUCAGUAAACUGGGGCUAAUACCGGAUAGGAGCUCCUGCUGCAUGGUGGGGGUUGGAAAGUUUCGGCGGUUGGGGAUGGACUCGCGGCUUAUCAGCUUGUUGGUGGGGUAGUGGCUUACCAAGGCUUUGACGGGUAGCCGGCCUGAGAGGGUGACCGGCCACAUUGGGACUGAGAUACGGCCCAGACUCCUACGGGAGGCAGCAGUGGGGAAUAGUGCACAAUGGGCGGAAGCCUGAUGCAGCAACGCCGCGUGCGGGAUGACGGCCUUCGGGUUGUAAACCGCUUUCGCCUGUGACGAAGCGUGAGUGACGGUAAUGGGUAAAGAAGCACCGGCUAACUACGUG